ACAUGCAAGUCGAACGAGACCUUCGGGUCUAGUGGCGCACGGGUGCGUAACGCGUGGGAAUCUGCCCUUGGGUCCGGAAUAACAGUGAGAAAUUACUGCUAAUACCGGAUGAUGUCUUCGGACCAAAGAUUUAUCGCCCAGGGAUGAGCCCGCGUAAGAUUAGCUAGUUGGUGGGGUAAAGGCCUACCAAGGCGACGAUCUUUAGCUGGUCUGAGAGGAUGAUCAGCCACACUGGGACUGAGACACGGCCCAGACUCCUACGGGAGGCAGCAGUGGGGAAUAUUGGACAAUGGGCGAAAGCCCGAUCCAGCAAUGCCGCGUGAGUGAUGAAGGCCUUAGGGUUGUAAAGCUCUUUUACCCGGGAUGAUAAUGACAGUACCGGGAGAAUAAGCCCCGGCUAACUCCGUGCCAGCAGCCGCGGUAAUACGGAGGGGGCUAGCGUUGUUCGGAAUUACUGGGCGUAAAGCGCACGUAGGCGGCUAUUCAAGUCAGAGGUGAAAGCCCGGAGCUCAACUCCGGAACUGCCUUUGAAACUAGAUAGCUUGAAUCAUGGAGAGGCGGGUGGAAUUCCGAGUGUAGAGGUGAAAUUCGUAGAUAUUCGGAAGA
rnacentral:rRNA from 1 species